rnacentral:lncRNA from 1 species
GCUAAAUAUGUAACCAUCAAUGAUGCUGGACCAAAAGGGAGUUCAGGUAUCACUGAGAUGCCAAACAGAAGGUUACCUCCAUUCAUGGUGGAGCACAUCAUCGACUCUUCAUCAGCUACCUGCAUGUUAAGGAAGAUAUUAUCUGGAGUGCUCUACAUAUGGCAAAUGCCAAUGUGUGCUGAUUAUCGAGAUCAGCUGGACAAGCAGUGAGAACCCUGCUCAUUAGGCCACAAGAGUAAUCCCAAGGGUGUAAGAAAAAAAACUCACCAGCCCCUUGAAAGUAUAGGCUAUUAUUAAUUCAUCUUUACCUUGUAGGAUGAAAUUCUGUGUCUGACUUGCUAUGUGCAAUCAGAGAAACCCUGAAACAGUGAGUAAAUUCUCGAGGCCUGAGACCACAUGGCACCUAGUGCGGUGUGCCCUGAAGGAGGUGGACCUGGGAGCCAAGUUCCCAUGCUCAUCUUGUUAGAUUCUGACGUUAUUAUAUUGUUACAGAAUGUAGUGACAUUAUUAUAUUAUUACAUUCUUUGAUCAAAAUGUUUACACUUCUCAAGGCUGAACACUAUAAUCAAAGCUGAAAAAUGACCCAAAGCAGCUUUUAGAGUCUAUUGAUGAGUUUGAUCGGGGCAGGCCAUAUUCCAAGGGCUGCUUAACAUAGGUAUGAGUCAAGGACAGGAAAGGUAUGGGGAGUCCACUUGAAGCAUACAAAGAAACAGGAGUGAGCCGCUCCAACUAGGAUCCAUGCUAUUACUGUCUGAACUCUGCAUGCUGACAGUUUUCAGACAGCAGAAGCCCGAAUUUUACAAAGUGCCUAUGAAAUUCUUAUUAUUAUUUUUUAAAACCUUCUCCCUUCUCUCCUGUUGACUACUUGGGAUUUGCCUGCAUGUUACACAUUGCUUCCCAAAUCAAGGAUUCCAGCAGAGUUAUGAUGUCACUCUUCAUCACUCACCAGGCUAAGAAACAAUCCAAAAAUAAGAAAAACAAACAAACGAACGAAAGUCCUAAAUUGGGUACUGCCAAGAGCUCAGCACCAUGGCUCCUUAGGAAUGGUCUCUUGCAGAUAAUUGCUGAGAAGGCUUACGGUUUACUGACCUGCUGGGGUGCACGGAGAAUUAUUGACUCAGACCUAAUUAAAUUGUUGCCUGCUGCUUUUUUGAAAUUCUGCCAGGGAAUCCUUGCUGUCCUUAGCAGAGUCUUUCAGUUGGAGGCUGUGGCUGAACUGUACCAAGGGCGUUUUAUGCUAUACAGGAAUGCAAGCUUGACUGAAAAUGUUCUUCAGUAUUUUAAUCUGCAGUUGAUCAUCACGGCCAGUAGAUGGUGCUGGUGUCCCUACAAGGAAAAUUCUGAGCAGCAUUAAAUACGAGAAAUUUUUAGAAAUCUGGGAAUUUAAUGAAUCUCCAACUAAACCCAAUAGAGAAAUUAAGAAUAGUUAUUUCUUGAAACAAUUUUAUGACACCAGAAAAAAUAUCUCCACGAGUUCCUUUUUCUUCACAGGAAAACACAAUGCCUGAUUUCUGUCUAAACAUCCCACAUUUGAACUCUAAAUUUAUAUUUAAGAUCAUGGACAUGUGGUUUCAAUAAGGACACUGUGGAUGAUGCCCAGCUCAGACACAGAACUUGGAGGCUUUGAGCUGGAUCUAAUCUGAAGGCUGGCUUUCAGAGUCCUGGAAGGUAUAUUGCAAACUGCUAAGGCAAGCAGACAGCCAAUAAUUCUACACAGCUAUUACUGACACCCACAAACCGCAACAGUGACCAGCACAGCAAGAUGUCCCUACAGCUCAUGGAACAACAGUGUGCAUGUUCCUCAAAGAUCUCAAAAUAGAUCUACUAUAUUAUCCAGCUAUACCACUCUUGGGUGUAUACCCAAGGACUGUAUGUUCUACUACAGCGAGUUCUGCUACCUGCUCAUUCAUAUUCAUGGUUGCUCUAUGUAUAAUGGCCAGUAAAUGGAAGCAGCCAAGAUGUCCAUAAUAAAAUGUGGUCUAUUUACA